rnacentral:misc_RNA from 1 species
UCCGGUUUGUCACCGGCAGUCUCCCUAGAGUGCCCUUUCGUAGCAACUAGGGAUAAGGGUUGCGCUCGUUGCGGGACUUAACCCAACAUCUCACGACACGAGCUGACGACAGCCAUGCAGCACCUGUGUCCAGGUUCCCUUUCGGGCACCCCCACGUCUCCAUGAGGUUCCUGGCAUGUCAAGCGUAGGUAAGGUUUUUCGCGUUGCAUCGAAUUAAUCCACAUCAUCCACCGCUUGUGCGGGUCCCCGUCAAUUCCUUUGAGUUUUAACCUUGCGGCCGUACUCCCCAGGCGGUCAACUUCACGCGUUAGCUGCGUUACCAAGGAAAUUAAUCCCCGACAACUAGUUGACAUCGUUUAGGGCGUGGACUAC